GUUUCUGCAGAGGAGGCAAGAGACAGACAGAGCUCAGAGCGAUAUAGCUAAAUUACUAACACUAUAUCCUGGUUUGUUUAACCUCCGAGGAGUCAAAUGGGGCAACUCAAAGUUCGUCAUACAGUUUACCGAAGACGAGUUCAUUCCAUUUGCGUGGAGGGUUUGGGAGUAGCUGACACACACAAAGUGGUGGAAGAACUCAGCUAGCCAGGUAGCAUCUGUGGAAAGGAAUGAACAGUUGACAUUUUGGGAAGAGACCCUUCUUCAGAUGUGCUGUUCCCAUUAUCAGUUUGGCCACAGAACAACACCGUCAAGAGCAAUGUGCCACUUUUAAUAAGCAGCCACUUGGAGAUAAAAUGAUCAAUCGACGAUUAACAACACAAGAGGUUCUGCAGAUCCUGGACAUCCACAGUAACAUAGUCAUAGUCAUAGUCAUACUUUAUUAAUCCCGGGGGAAGUUGGUUUUCAUUACAGUUGCUCCAUAAAUAAUAAAUAGUCAUAGAACCAUAAAUAGUUAAAUAGUAAUAUGUAAAUUAUGAAAUAAGUCCAGGACCAGCCUAUUGGUUCAAGGUGUCUGACCCUCCAAGGGAGGAGUUGUAAAGUUUGAUGGCCACAGGCAGGAAUGACUUCCUAUGAUGCUCUGCGUUGCAUCUCGGU